UGGGGAAUUUUGGACAAUGGGCGAAAGCCUGAUCCAGCAAUGCCGCGUGUGUGAAGAAGGCCUUCGGGUUGUAAAGCACUUUUGUCCGGAAAGAAAUCCUUGGCUCUAAUACAGUCGGGGGAUGACGGUACCGGAAGAAUAAGCACCGGCUAACUACGUGCCAGCAGCCGCGGUAAUACGUAGGGUGCAAGCGUUAAUCGGAAUUACUGGGCGUAAAGCGUGCGCAGGCGGUUUGCUAAGACCGAUGUGAAAUCCCCGGGCUCAACCUGGGAACUGCAUUGGUGACUGGCAGGCUAGAGUAUGGCAGAGGGGGGUAGAAUUCUACGUGUAGCAGUGAAAUGCGUAGAGAUGUGGAGGAAUACCGAUGGCGAAGGCAGCCCCCUGGGCCAAUACUGACGCUCAUGCACGAAAGCGUGGGGGAGCAAACAGGAUUAGAUACCCUGGUAGUCCACGCCCUAAACGAUGUCAACUAGUUGUUGGGGAUUCAUUUCCUAGUAACGUAGCUAACGCGUGAAGUUGACCGCCUGGGGAGUACGGUCGCAAGAUUAAAACUCAAAGGAAUUGACGGGGUCAUAGCUGUUUCCU
rnacentral:rRNA from 1 species